rnacentral:rRNA from 1 species
UUCGCCCUUUUCCGGUUGAUCCUGCCGGAGGCUUCUGCUAUCGGGAUUCGAUUAAGCCAUGCGAGUCGAGAGGGUUCGGCCCUCGGCUGACUGCUCAGUAACACGUGUAUAACUUGCCCUCAGGUAGGGGAUAAUCUCGGGAAACUGAGGAUAAUACCCUAUAGACAUCCUUUGCUGGAACGCUUGUAUGUUCAAAGGUAACGCCUGAGGAUAGGUCUGCGGCCUAUCAGGUUGUAGUGGGUGUAAUGGACCCACUAGCCCGCGACGGGUACGGGCCUUGAAAGAGGUAGCCCGGAGAUGGGACUCUGAGACACGAGUCCAGGCCCUACGGGGCGCAGCAGGC